rnacentral:piRNA from 1 species
UAUAAACUAAAAAUAGUGUAU